AAAACAUAAGAGGUAACACUGUUGUUUUUUUUAUUGGUCGUCAUGAAAAAAAAACAUAAGGGGUAACACUGUUGUUUUUUAUUGGUCGUCAUGAAAAAAAACAUAAGGGGUAACACUGUUGUUUUUUAUUGGUCAUCAUGAAAAAAAACAUAAGGGGUAACACUUGUUUUUUAUUGGUCGUCAUGAAAAAAAACAUAAGGGGUGUAACACUCGUAUUUUAUUGGUCGUCAUUAAAAAAAACAUAUUUGAAAAAAAAAAAAAAAUGUCCUUGUCAAAUAAAAUAUAAGGGGUAACACUGUUGUUUUUUAUUGGUCGUCAUGAAAAAAAACAUAAGGGGUAACACUGUCGUUUUUUAGUGGUCGUCAUGAAAAAAAACAUAGGGGGUAACACUGUUGUUUUUUAUUGGUCGCAAUGAAAAAAAACACAAGGGGUAACACUGUUGUUUUUUAUUGGUCGUCAUGAAAAAAAACAUAAGGGGUAACACUGUUGUUUUUUAUUGGUCGUCAUGAAAAAAAACAUAAGGGGUAACACUGUUGUUUUUUUGGUCGUCAUGAAAAAAAACAUAAGGGGUAACACUGUUGUUUUUGUCAAAUAAAAUAUAAGGGGUAACACUGUUGUUUUUCAUCGGUCAUCAUGGGAAAAAAACACAAGGGGUAACACUGUUGUUUUUUUCAAAUAAAAUAUAAGGGGUAACACUGUUGUAUUUUAUUAGCCAUGAAAAUAAACAUAUUUUAAAAAAUAAAUAAAUGUGUCCUUGUCAAAUAAAAUAUAAGGGGUAACACUGUUGUUUUUAUCAAAUGAAACGUAAAGGGUAACACUAGCCGCGUUUACAUGGCACAUCUGAUCCGCAUAGAUUUCUAUGCGGCAUAUAUCUGUUCCUAAAAUGUGAUCCGAAUGUACUGUAAACAUGGCCGUAACAUUGUCUCUCGCGGACACCUGACAUAUCGUGUCAGGUAUGUAGAGGAAUUUGGAUGCGAGUCCGCAGCCAAGACUGGUGGGAGAGAGUGGUCUCUCUAGUUAAGAAGUAUUUUAACGUUCAGCCUGCAAAAGUACAAGUAGUAGCCUACUCAUUUACAGUUAUCCCGGACGCGCGCGGACACUACGAUACGCAAACACGUCAUUAAUAAACACCCAUUUCCCGUCCCGGACACGCUUACCGGACUACUUUUACGGAGUGGUAACAAAGAAGUGAAUCAGGCAAUAAAUCCACUUUCCUUGACAGCGGUCAAGUUCGGUGUGCUUAAAAGUACCGACGGAGCUCAGUGGACCAAUUGCGAACUACUGCGGCUGCACCCCAAUCUAUUCGGAAUAAGUGUAUACAUGGCGAUUAAUACAGACUACACCACCUCUUCUAUUCGGCAUAGAAUCUAUGGCGAACAGAUAAUUGUAUUCCGAAUGAGGCGUAUACAUGAUAAUUUUCUGUUCCGCAUAGAAAUCUAUGCGGAACAGAUGUGUCCAUGUAAACGCGGCUAAUGUAUAGAAUAGAAUAGAAACACACACACGCACGCACGCACACACACACACACACACACACACACACACACAC
ensembl:lncRNA